UGGCCGUAGCUAUAUGAAACAAUUUGACUUGAGAAGUUAAGUGGCUAGUUGUUGUAAAUCUAAUGACAUAUUUGCUUACCGAACUUCUUACAUUU
rnacentral:snoRNA from 1 species